rnacentral:lncRNA from 1 species
UUGGAUUUGUGGUAUCCAUGAUUUCUCAAAAGUUUCAUUACACUGGCACAUUUCUUGAGCACCAUCUUUUAAUCACUAUAAAGCAUGACUUUAUGAGAUAAAUCCUUCAUAUUGCAUGUCUGCAAAUGCAUUGUCUUCCAAUUUGUCAUUCUGCUAUAAUUCAUGCCUUGUCUUUUAAUCGCUAUAAUUCAUGCCAUGUCUGCAAAUGCCUUGUCAUUCUGUAAAUGCAUGAAUAUCUAGCCACAUCUUAUUUGACAUUGCUAUCCUAUGCUGUGGGGGAACUCAUUAUUCUGCU